UUGCUUAAUAGUUUAUAUAAAAUGUAGAUUUUGUAAAUCUAAGUAAGUUUGAGCAUCA
rnacentral:tRNA from 1 species